rnacentral:rRNA from 1 species
CCUACGGGUGACAGCAGUGAGGACUAUUGGUCACUGGGCGCGAGCCUGAACCAGCCAAGUAGCGUUAAGGAUGACUGCCCUACGGGUUGUCACCUUCUUUUAUAAAGUAAUAAAGUGAGGCCCGUGUGCCUUUUUGUAUGUACUUUAUGAAUAAGGAUCUGCUAACUCCGUGCCAGCAGCCGCGGUAAUACGGAGGAUCAGUGCGUUCGCCGGCUUUAUUGGGUUUAAAGGGAGUGUAGAUGGGUUGUUAAGGCAGUUGUGAAAGUUUGCGGCUCAACCGUAAAAUUGCAAGUGAUACUGGCAGUAUUGAGUACAGUUGAGGUAGGCGGAAUUCGUGGUGGAGCGGUGAAAUGCUUAGAUAUCACGAAGAACUCCGAUGGCGAAGGCAGCUUACUAAACUGCCACUGACAUUGAUGCUCGAAAGUGUGGGUAGCAAACAGGAUUAGAUACCCUGGUAGUC